rnacentral:rRNA from 1 species
GACGAACGCUGGCGGCGCGCUUAACACAUGCAAGUCGAGCGAGAACCAGGGCUUCGGCCCUGGGGACAGCGGCGAACGGGUGAGUAACACGUGGGUAAUCCACCCUCGGCACCGGAAUAGCCCGGGGAAACCCGGAUUAAUGCCGGAUGGCCCGCCGGCCCUGCGGGGCUGGUGGAAAAGGUAGCUUCGGCCUCCGGCCGAGGACGGGCCCGCGACGGAUUAGCUUGUUGGUGGGGUAACGGCCUACCAAGGCUGCGAUCCGUAGCUGGUCUGAGAGGACGAUCAGCCACACUGGGACCGAGACACGGCCCAGACUCCUACGGGAGGCAGCAGUGUGGAAUCUUGCGCAAUGGGCGAAAGCCUGACGCAGCGACGCCGCGUGAGGGAAGAAGGCCUUCGGGUUGUAAACCUCUUUCAGGAGGGACGAAGCCACUCGGGUUAAUAGCCCAGAGGGUGACGGUACCUCCAGAAGAAGCCCCGGCUAACUACGUGCCAGCCGCCGCAGUAAUAC